GGGAAUGAGUGGCCGAAAGUAGUGCAUUUUUUCCAGGAGUACAUAUCUGGGAACCCUAUGCAGAUGCGGAUUGAUUUUCUCCAUUCGAUUCUGUGUUUACGGGUCACAGUAACCUGAAUGGGCCUGCGUCCAGGUACUGUCCCUUGGGCUCCCGAAAAGUUACUGGCCGGCUGGAUCCCAUUUCCCAGUUUGUGGAAUCCCGGGACGCGGCAUGUGGAGCCCCGCCUCUUGGAGCUCGAGGGCAGAGCCGCCUCGGCUGGGCAGUCUGGCGGGAAAGGAAAUUCAACCCCUAAGGAGAACAGUCACCACACUCAUGGCAGGGAUUUUGCGCUCAAUAGUUCAGAGGCCCCCAGGCAGACUACAAAUGGUGACAAAAGGUGUGGAGCCCCUUGUUUGUACAGAUUGGAUUCGUCACAAAUUUACGAAGUCAAGAAUUCCAGAUAAAGUUUUCCAGCCUUCACCUGAAGAUCAUGAAAAAUAUGGUGGGGAUCCACAGCAACCUCAUAAACUGCAUAUUGUUACCAGAAUAAAAAGUACAAAAAGACGUCCAUAUUGGGAGAAAGAUAUAAUAAAGAUGCUUGGGUUACAAAAAGCACAUACUCCUCAAGUUCACAAGAAUAUCCCUUCGGUGAAUGCAAAACUGAAAGUAGUUAAACAUUUGAUAAGAAUCAAGCCCCUGAAGCUGCCACAAGGUCUCCCAACAGAGGAGGACAUGUCCAACACAUGCCUCAAGAGCACUGGAGAGCUGGUGGUGGGGUGGCUUCAGAACCCCACGGACCAGGAAGUGAAUAAGUCCUGAUGGCCUCGCAGCUUCAGAGUAAAAAGUGCAAGUCAUUUCUAUUUAAAGAUGCCUUAUGAAUCACAAACGAUAUGGAAGGGCUAUUGAAAGCAGUAGAAAUAGAGAAGAUACAUGAAGAUAUGAAGAAGGUAAAAGAAGGUCUGGAGAGAACAAGUUGAUGAUUUUUAAAAUAGGCAAAAAGCAUACAUCUCUAAGAUCCACCUCCUGGAGCCAACUGUAUUUUCCCAGGAUGGCCACACCAUUGUAUAUCCCAACCCAAGUGCUCUUAUCUUGUGACAUUGACAAUCUUGCAUCAAGAGGUCAGGUCCAUGUUUUCUCUCCUCAAACCUCAGUGGACCCCUGUAACUUCCUCAACCAAUAGAAUGAUGCAGAAAUAACACUGUGUGUCUUCCAAGGCUAGGCUACGAAUGGCAAUAUAGCUUCCUCCUGGCUCAUCUCUUGGGAUGCUUGUCCUUGGAACCCAGUCACCAUGUUGUGAGGAAGCCCAGGCCACAUGGAGAGGCCGCCUGUGGGCAUUUCAGUGGACACCGGCAGGCCCUCAACCUAGAGCCAACAGCCAGCCUCAGGCACCAGACAUCAGAUGAUUUCCACGUCCAGCCUUCAGAACAUCCAACGGAGGCCCCAGACACUAUGAAACAGAGACAGGACAUCUCUACUGCACCCUGUCAGAAUUUCCGACCUACAGAUAUUGAGAUAUAAUAAUAUGGUGACUUUGUCACACAGCUGUAGAUAACUAACACAUCCCCCUUACUAAACUUUGAGUUAAUGGCAAGGAUUAUGACUUCGUUAUCUUUGAAUUUCCAGCAUCAGCCUUAGUGACUGGCUCAAUAACUAAUAAAACAAAAUUUGAAGAAAAGUAACACUUUCCCAGUCUGUGGAAUUCAGGCGAGGCUCUUACUUCAGAGAUGUGAAAUCAGUUCUCACCACAACAUAAUUUUCAAAACAUCCUGGAAACUUCCAGCCAUUUUAUCUUGAUAUUAAUAUACCAAGAUCUCAAUAUUAAUAUAUCAAAUCUCAACGUAUCAAUGAGAUUUGAAGUCAAAUAGACCAUCGUUCGAAUCCCAGCUCUGCCACUUACUGGCUCUGUGACUUUGAACAAAUUAUUAUCUUCACUGAGCAUAAAUAAUUUCUUUGCUUACAUCCUUUUCAAACACCUAGGAAUGUAGAGCAAAUUUUAAAGUGCGUUCGAAUCAUCUGGGGAUUGUGUUAACCUGCGGCUCCGAUUCAGUUGGCCUGGGGUGGGACCCAAGAUUCGGUAUUUCCAACAAGCUCCCCAGUGAUGCUGGGGAUGCCGCUGGUCUGCAGUGGGCUGUUUUGAAUAGUGUAUUAAUCAUGUUUUCUAUUUUCUGUAUUUUAUGACGUUUUGACGUCUUAAAAAGCUUGCUGGCCAGAGAAAGACUGCUCCUCCCAGGGCUAGCAGUUCUUUGAGAAAGCAAACGGCUCAGCGGGGAGCACGCCUUUCACACACACAGCAACCAAUCCAAGCCCUUAUUCCUCAAUCACCACCUUUACCUAAUUCACGCACGUGGAGCCAAUCUUUCCCCGGCCCUAAAUUAUCCCAAGGCCAGAUUCCAGGCAACUAGAGACCACCUCUAAAAACCAAAGCCCACAGAAAUUAUGCAAACUAGCCAGUCCUACACUGUUUCCUCUGCCCUUCCUUGCCGCCUUUCCCGCAGAAACCCCCUUGGAGGCUCUGACUCAGGCCCUCCCUUCGCUCUUGUCUUCGGCCUCCUGACCAAAACCUGCCGUUUCUCCCGUGGCCCUGAGUGGCGUGGCCUGCCUCUUGUUUCUAGGGGAACGGUCCAUCCAUGUUGUCGCAAAUGGCAAGGUUUCAUUCUUUUUAUGGCUAAUAUUCCAUAUAUCAAAACCAGAAUCUCACCAAAGCACAUCAUUGUGAAAUGUCAAACAUGUGACAAAGAGAAGAUUCUACAAACUCUAGAGGGAAGAGGGGAUAUAUCAUAUACAAAGGAUUAAAAUCAAAAUGACCUCAGGCUUCUCAAGAGUACUCCUAGAAGCCAGAAGACCAAGGGAUAAAUGCCUUCAAAAUUCUGAAAGAAAACUAUUUCCAGACUAGAAUUUUUUACCAGGCCAAAUCGCCAAUUCAUGUGAGGGUAGAAAAAAAGGUACUUUGGACAUGAAAGGCCUCAAAAAAUUAACCUCCCACUCACUUUUCUCAGGAAGCUGCUGGAGGAUGUGCUCCAUAAAAACAAAGGAGUAAGCUAAAAAUGUGAAAAAUGGGGAGAUGCAACAUGGGAGAGCUGCAAAGGACUGAUGGUGAAGCUGAAACUGUACAACUCGGAUGGGACUCAAACCCACCAAAACUCAGAUUGGGACUUGAACCCACAGGCUGGGACUCGAAUGCACUGUCGCUUAAUUGAGACCACACACCUGGUCUCAGGAUUUAAUGAACCUCAGGUUCUUUAUGUCUCAUCCCAGAAGGAAUUCAGCAAGAGGCAAAGUGAUAGGUGUAUUCCUGAGGUCUUCUCAGUCAUAUUGUCCUUAAUGAGGAUCCCUUCACUGGAUUCAGCCUUGAGAGUGGGUCUUGGAAGGCAGACGGUGGGGAGACAAGAAGGAAGCAGCCCAGGAGUUCAAGGACACUGAUGGUCAUGAGCAGGUUCCACAAGCCCCUGACACAGAAGGAAAGAGCAAGAAGUGAAAAUAAGACAUCAACAUAGCAUAUCGAAGGAACACAAACUCUGUGACCCAACUUUCCAGGUGCCAAAAAGGAGUCUAUGUUCAGAAGGGAGUGUUGAGGUGUCACUGGAGUGUGUGUGGGGAGAGUCCAUCGGUCACCCAGGACCAAUCCGGUCAAACCCCUGUGGCUCCAGACACUUGGAACCAUUAUCAAAACGUCAGGUGAGUCCAGCACCGUGUUCAUGAUGCCAAGCACAACAUCCACUGCAGCAACCCUCUUCUCCCUUUCUGGAGAGCAAAACUGUGACAGACAGCAUGGGGGUGUCAAGGUGGAGGGCACGCUGGAAACUGACAACCUGAACACCAUUUGGGGCCAGUUCAGGUUCCUGGUGGCCUCCACUCACCCUUCCUCCACUGAGCACUUUGUAACUCUCAAAGCAGUGUUUAGAUUUGUAAGGCGUCAUGGACCAUUUCCUCCUCAGUUAAACAAUGUUUCUGGAAAAGGUGGAAAUAAAGGUCUUUGGUCUUUGUA